CGUUUGAGAUUUGAGAGGGGCUGCUCCUAGUACGAGAGGACCGGAGUGGACGAACCUCUGGUGUUCCGGUUGUCAC
rnacentral:rRNA from 1 species